rnacentral:rRNA from 1 species
UACAGAGGGUGCUAGCGUUGUUCGGAAUCAUUGGGCGUAAAGGGCGUGUAGGCGGUUUGUUAAGUCAUGUGUGAAAUCCCUCGGCUCAACCGGGGAAUGGCGAUGGAUACUGGCUCGCUAGAGUGCGGUAGAGGAGAGUGGAAUUCCCGGUGUAGCAGUGAAAUGCGCAGAUAUCGGGAGGAACACCGGUGGCGAAGGCGGUUCUCUGGGCCUUACCUGACGCUGAGGAGCGAAAGCGUGGGGAGCGAACAGG